GCAGAAGUGUCAUUACCUUGCAGCUCAUGUCGACAAAAAGCUACACUGCACAUUUCUCUUAGGCUGCUAAGAGGAAGGAAACACAAAACACACACACACACACACACACACACACACACACACACACACACACACACACACAGAGGCCUCGUUUUCUGCAUGUAAAAUGUGUGUGUUCUUUAAAAGCCAGUGGUUGGCUGGUUUUCCGGACAUGAUGUGGUUGAAGCUGUCAUCGUAAUGGAAAUUCAUUGCUGUAGCUAUGGUAAAUCGAGUUUUCUGCCUGUGCUGAAUGCAUUAGUCUAAUGAGAUGUUUGCAGCUGGAGCGCAGGGCUGCUGGAGACUAACUGUGAGCUACUAACACGGGUGGAAGAUAGCUUUUGCAAUACUCGGUUUGCAUGUGCUGAAAGUCAUCUGUCUUCUGAGUCAACACUCCCGACCUGGUAAACAACCUGCUCAGGGCUCUGGUGAACAAGCUGUAGAAAAGAAAAAAAGAAAAGAGUAAAUGAACGGUAAUAGAAAGACAAGAAAACAAUAAGCGAAACGAAGACGGGGUUUCAUCAUGUUGCCAGGCUGGUCUCGAACUCCUGAACUCAAGCCAUCCUCCUGCCUCCACCUUCCAAAGUGCUGGGACUAUAAGCAUGAGCCACCAUGCCCAGCCUAUAUUUAUAUUUUUAACAAUAAAC
rnacentral:lncRNA from 1 species